GUGGUAAUGCCGGAUGCUCCAUCACACCGCAUGGUGUGUUGGGAAAGCCUUUGCGGCAUGGGAUGGGGUCGCGUCCUAUCAGCUUGAUGGCGGGGUAACGGCCCACCAUGGCUUCGACGGGUAGCCGGCCUGAGAGGGCGACCGGCCACAUUGGGACUGAGAUACGGCCCAGACUCCUACGGGAGGCAGCAGUGGGGAAUAUUGCACAAUGGGCGCAAGCCUGAUGCAGCGACGCCGCGUGAGGGAUGGAGGCCUUCGGGUUGUAAACCUCUUUUGUUAGGGAGCAAGGCAUUUUGUGUUGAGUGUACCUUUCGAAUAAGCACCGGCUAACUACGUGCCAGCAGCCGCGGUAAUACGUAGGGUGCAAGCGUUAUCCGGAAUUAUUGGGCGUAAAGGGCUCGUAGGCGGUUCGUCGCGUCCGGUGUGAAAGUCCAUCGCUUAACGGUGGAUCCGCGCCGGGUACGGGCGGGCUUGAGUGCGGUAGGGGAGACUGGAAUUCCCGGUGUAACGGUGGAAUGUGUAGAUAUCGGGAAAGAACACC
rnacentral:rRNA from 1 species